ACGACCUACAGGUCGUAUGAGUACUCAGCCAAAAAAGACGCAACAUUUUCGAGCGUGUGAUAAGACACAGAUACUCCGCUGCGGGGACUUUCCCUUUCCAAAGCGACAGAGAGGGAAAUGAAAAAGCCAGGGAGAGCGAGAGUGCGUGGGCGCUUCUAGGGAGGAGGCCCAGUUCGGGCUUUCGGGCCGGGCCCUAGACAACGGAGCACCACAUUGAGGGAGGUAGGAAAUUUGUGGCUCUUAUCAACACAGCCGCCUGGCCAGCGAGCACCACCAGCCACAUAUAUCGGGCAAUGCAAACCAGACGAAACUGGGUCAAAUUCAAGCAGCCAGUUUGGAAUGCUCCAUCCGGAAAAUGUAUCGGACGGAUACUGGAAUUAUUUCUAAUUGCCUGCGGACACGAACAGUUUUUACGGUUCAAUAAACCAUGUAUUAUGUUGACCCUUUCAGAAAAUUUUAAAAUGGAAUC
ensembl:ncRNA lncRNA:CR45418 long non-coding RNA:CR45418